rnacentral:rRNA from 1 species
AAUAAGCGGAGGAAAAGAAACUAACCAGGAUUCCCCUAGUAACGGCGAGUGAACAGGGAUUAGCCCAGCACCGAAGCCCGCGUCCGUUUGGGCGUUGGGCAAUGUGGUGUUUAGGUUGAUGCGUUGGAGAGCUACUUCGUUCCAAGUCCAAUCUUGAUUAUGGCUUUAGCAUGGCCCAGAGAGGGUGAAAGGCCCGUGUGGACGAGGUGGCAAUCUACUGCGUUGACUUUGGAGUCGGGUUGUUUGAGAAUGCAGCCCAAAGUUGGUGGUAAACUCCAUCUAAGGCUAAAUACUGGCACGAGUCCGAUAGCGAACAAGUACCGUGAGGGAAAGUUGAAAAGUACUCUGAAGAGAGAGUUAACAGUGCGUGAAACCGCUUAGAGGCAAACGGGUGUAGUCAAGCUGCAAGUAUUCUGAAAUAGGUGGGCCAGAAUGACGUGAGUCUGAGCACAUAGAGCUGACGAUGAGGUGCGUCCGUAUGGGCGUGUUCGGGCCGCAAGGUUCGGAUCUGUGUUGUGGCAUUCGCUACUGCAGGCCUUGGCGUUAGUUGUUCUGCUGGCCCGCUCACUUUCAUUAUACGUAUGUCACGACCGUCGUCGCUGUCGGUCUGCUUCGUCUAAACCGUGUGAUGAGUAGUCUUGUGCUUCUCGUUGCAUGGGGGCAGGUGGCCGGGCUUGUUCCAAUUUGGACCAGGUCUGGUGUAAUUUGCUGGGCGGAGUGGUACCUGUAACUGUGCAGUGCGACGGGGCUGGCGGUGCUUUGUUUCUGGUGCGUGCUAAAAGUUUACCGGCGUGGAUGUGAGUCUGGCUGCUUGUCUGCUGUCUUUGACGGCCUUGUGGCGGCUCUGUCCCGGUUUGGUAGGCGGCUGCGUACCGGCUCUCAUUGCGUUGUGCCAAUAGUCUGUGGCGUAGUGGUAGACGAUCC